CAGCCGCCGCGGUAAUACGGGGGGGGCAAGUGUUAUUCGGAAUGACUGGGCGUAAAGGGCACGUAGGCGGUGAAAAGGGUGGAAAGUGAAAGUCGCCAAAACACUGGCGGGGUGCUUUCUUGACCAUUUCACUUGAGUGAGAUAGGGGAGAGUGGAAUUUCGUGUGGAGGGAUCAAAUCCUAAGAUAUACGAAGGAACGCCAACCGCGAAGGCAGCUCUCUGGGUCCCCACUGACGCUGGGGUGCGAAAGCAUGGGGAGCAAACAGGAUCAGAUACCCCUGUAGUCCCUGUCUCUUAUACA
rnacentral:rRNA from 1 species